AAAACCCAGCAGGAACUCGCAAGACAUUUUCGUCUUGCGAAGCAAGCACAUAGGAAAUUCGUUUUGCGAAGCACCUCCAAAACGGAAAACCCUUUCGUCUAGCGGGUUUUCCGUCUUGCGAGGCAUUUGUCUUGCGGGGCACCACUGUAUUGGAAGACACAAGAACUUCCCACCCUGGAGGAAUGGCAGAUGAAAUUUAUGGACUAUAUGGAUUUGGCGGAAAUGACUGGCAGAAUCCGUGACCAGGGAGAAGAGUCGACGGAGGAAGAUUGGAAGAAAUUUAAAGACUAUCUUCAGAAACAUUGCAAAAUUAAGGAAUGUUAGAGUGAUGUUGGACUGAAAAUAAGCGGUUUCCAGCCGUACAGGUUAAGCUAAUGAUAGACUAAGAUUAAAGAUUAGGAUUAAAGAUGUUUAAAGAAAUGGAAAUUUGAUAUUAAGAGGAAAAAAUUUAACGUUAUAUGAUACUAAGAUCAAAGAUCAGGUUUAAAGAAGUUGAAGUUAUAUAUUUUAAUAUUUUAUUAAACUAAAGAUUGGGAUUAAAAAAGUGGAAAAGAAACUGCUGGACAAACAAUUUGGAUUGGAAUACAAAAGAGGGAGGUAUGAGGAAGUCCAGAAAAUAAGUAAUUUAAAAAUGGAAAUGGAAAAGAGAUAUUGUUUUUAAUUGUUAUGUUUUUUGUUAUUUUUUUAUUGUUGAAUUUUGUUGUUUUUUCUUUUGUGUUUUUGUUAUAUGUAUUCUGUAUGUUUUUCUUUUCUUUUUUUUGUUGUUUAAAAUUUUAAUAAAAAUUAUUUAAAAAAAAAAAGAUAAUGUGAGAAAUAUAAUCAACAUUUUAGAAAAAUUACAAGUGAAUAUUAAUACCAAGGCAGUUUUGAUAUUUGUGGAUGCGGAGAAAGCUUUUGACAAUAUUUCCUGGAGUUUUAUGAAGAAGAACCUACAGGGGAUGGGGGUUGGUCAAGGUUUUGGAAAUGGUAUAAGUGCAAUUUAUUCCGAACAAAAGGCCAAAUUAAUUGUAAAUAAUGUGGUGACGGAGGAAUUUAAGAUAGAAAAAGGGACACGACAAGGUUGCCCAAUCUCCCCAUUGCUUUUUAUAUCGGUCCUGGAGGUCCUUUUAAAUAUGAUUAGAAGGGACCAAUUGGUUAAGGGUACACAGGUCGGAGCUAAACAGUACAAAUUGAGAGCAUUUGCAGAUGACUUAGUAUUGACAUUACAGGAGCCAGAAUCUAGUACUAAAAGAGCUUUGGAACUGAUUCAAGAAUUUGGUCAGGUUGCAGGAUUUAAGCUGAAUAAGUUAAAAACAAAGGUUCUAGAGAAAAAUUUAACAGCGAUUGAGAGAGAGAGGUUUCAGAAGGAGACAGGCUUAACAGUGGCUAAGAAAGUGAAAUACCUGGGGAUUAAUAUGACAGCUAAAAAUGGGAAUUUAUUUAAAGAUAACUAUGAAAAAUGCUGGACGGAAAUGAAAAAAGAUUUAGAAAUUUGGUCAAAUUUGAAGCUUUCAUUGCUAGGCCGUAUUGCUGUGAUAAAAAUGAAUGUAUUGCCUAGAAUGUUGUUUUUGUUUCAAACAUUGCAAAUUUUGGAUAAAAUGGAUUGUUUCAAGAAGUGGCAGAGAGACAUUUCUAGAUUUGUCUGGCAGGGCAAGAAGCCUAGAAUAAAAUUUAAAAUACUAAUGGAUGCAAAGGAAAGAGGUGGAUUUGCCCUGCCAGACCUUAAACUUUACUAUGAAUCAGCAGCUUUUUGCUGGCUGAAAAAAUGGCUUCUUCUUGAAAACACAGACAUUUUGGAUUUAGAAGGUUUCAACAAUGUAUUUGGGUGGCAUGCAUAUUUGUGGUAUGAUAAGGUCAAAGCACAUAAAGCAUUUAAAAAUCAUAUUGUUAGGAAAGCAUUGUUUAAUGUUUUGAUAAGAUAUAAGGAUCUACUUGAAAAUAAAACCCCAAGGUGGUUGUCACCGAUGGAAGCGAAGGCUCAGAAAAAGCUCAAUAUGGAGGCCAAAUGGCCGAAAUAUUGGGAAAUUUUGGAACAAGAGGGAGAUAGAUUGAAAUUGCAGAGUUUUGAGAAAUUAAAAAACAAAGUGCGAGACUGGCUUCAUUAUUAUCAGAUAAUGGAGGCGUAUAAUUUGGACAAGAAAAUUGGCUUCCAGGUGGAAAAAUCAAAAUUAGAAACAGAAUUGUUAGAACCCAAAACUAAGAUUUUGUCAAAGAUGUAUAACUUGCUGUUGAAAUGGAAUACACAGGAUGAAACGGUGAAAUCUGCUAUGAUUAAAUGGGCACAAGAUGUUGGACAUAACAUAAUGAUGGCUGACUGGGAACAGUUAUGGACCACAGGUAUGAAGUUUACGGCAUGCAAUGCCUUAAGAGAGAAUAUUAUGAAAAUGAUAUACAGGUGGUACAUGACACCAGUCAAGCUUGCAAAAAUCUAUCAUCUGCCCGAUAAUAAAUGUUGGAAAUGUAAGGAAACUGAAGGUACAUUCUUUCACCUUUGGUGGAUGUGCCCAAGGAUUAAGGCUUUCUGGGAGAUGAUUUAUAAUGAACUGAAAAGGGUAUUUAAAUAUACCUUUUUGAAGAAACCAGAGGCCUUUCUCCUGGGCAUGGUCGGCCAAAUGGUGCCAAAGAAGGACAGAACUUUCUUUAUGUAUGCCACAACAGCAGCAAGAAUACUUAUUGCAAAGUAUUGGAAGACGCAAGAUCUACCCACCCUGGAAGAAUGGCAGAUGAAGGUGAUGGACUACAUGGAACUGGCGGAAAUGACUGGCAGAAUCCGAGACCAGGGAGAAGAGUCGGUGGAAGAAGAUUGGAAGAAAUUUAAAGACUAUUUACAGAAAUAUUGCAAAAUUAAUGAAUGUUAGAAUGAUGUCAGAAUGAAGUUAAGUGGUUUAAGCAGCAAUGUUAUAAAGGUGUAUGAAAAAUGGAUUAUUAACAGGUGAGAACUCAAAGUUAUAUUAUAUUAAGUUAAAGGAUUAAGAUAAAAACAAAAAGGGAAAGAAAUUGCUGAAUUAACUAACUGAAUUGGAAUACAAAAAAGGGAGGUGUGAGGAGGUCAGGGAAGUAAGGAUAUGAAUAUAUGACAUGGAAAGAUUGAUGUGUUUUCUUUUUAAAUGUUUUUUAUCUUUUUUCUGUAUUUUGUAUUUUUCUUUUUUUCCUUUUUUUUGUCUUUUCUUCUAUUCUUUUUAUCUAUGUAAUUUUUUUUCUUUGAAAACUUAAUAAAUAUCAUUUAACAACAACAACAAAAAAGAGACUUCAGAGAAGUGUGACUAGCCCUAGGUCACCCAGCAGCAGCAUGUGGAGGAGCGGGGAAUCGAACCCGGUUCACCAGAUUACCAGUUGACUGCUCUUAACCACUACACCAUACUGGCACUACACAACACAGGCAGCCGCUAUACUCACAGUCUAUCUGCUUUUUCUCUUCUGUCUCUGAAGAGGCUUGCUUCACGGUGCCAGUUCCAGGAAACUCCAACCGGGACAAAAACAGCCCCCAGUCUUUCCUCUACUGGCACUGGGUCUGUGGCCCUGAUCCCUGGGCCCAUAACCAAUGUUAGGCGCAUCCUACAUGAGUAGGACCUUGAUAAAGACACAUGCCCGCUUGGCUAAACAGCAACGGCAAAGGUAGUGCCCCAUAAGUUCCUCCCCAUGUCAAUCAUAAACCAACAGCCGCCUCCACUGGAGGCAACAAAUGCUGCAAUGCACUGAAGCGGAGGAAGAUAGAGGAGGGUGGAAUCUCGUCCCCCCAUCUGUAAACUGAAAUUCAUGGUAAGAAAAAAUUAUGUUUUUACUAGAUGGAGGGGGGCGCCAUUCCUGAUAGGGAUCUACCAGAACAGUAUCCCAGCAUUGGGGAGGGCUUCCUCUGCCUCCAGAUCACUGUGGAACUCCUCUCUGCAGCAUCCGAAGAAGUUUGUACCUACAGGACCGCCUCUCCCGGUAUGCCCCACGGAGAGCCUCAAGGUCCAUAAAUAACAACACCCUAGUGGUCCCAGGCCCUAAGGAAGUUAGAUUAGCUUCAACCAGAGCCAGGGUCUUUUCAACUCUGGCUCCGGCCUGGUGGAACGCUCUGCCUCAUAAGACCAGGGCCCUGCAGAAUCUGAUUUCUUUCCGCAGGGCCUGCAAGACAGAGUUGUUCCGCCUGGCCUUUGGCUUGGAGCCAAUUUGAUUCCCUCCCUCCCUCUCUUUCUUUUUUUCCUUUUCUUUCUCCUCCUGUGAUGAG
rnacentral:lncRNA from 1 species